rnacentral:rRNA from 1 species
AGUGAACGCUGGCGGUAGGCCUAACACAUGCAAGUCGAACGGCAGCACAGUAAGAGCUUGCUCUUACGGGUGGCGAGUGGCGGACGGGUGAGGAAUACAUCGGAAUCUACUUUUUCGUGGGGGAUAACGUAGGGAAACUUACGCUAAUACCGCAUACGACCUACGGGUGAAAGCAGGGGAUCUUCGGACCUUGCGCGAUUGAAUGAGCCGAUGUCGGAUUAGCUAGUUGGCGGGGUAAAGGCCCACCAAGGCGACGAUCCGUAGCUGGUCUGAGAGGAUGAUCGGCCACACUGGAACUGAGACACGGUCCAGACUCCUACGGGAGGCAGCAGUGGGGAAUAUUGGACAAUGGGCGCAAGCCUGAUCCAGCAAUACCGCGUGAGUGAAGAAGGCCUUCGGAUUGUAAAGCCCUUUUGUUGGGAAAGAAAAGCAGCAUGUUUAUACCCCGCUGUUCUGACGGUACCCAAAGAAAAAGCACCGGCUAACUUCGUG